GUAAGCUACUAAGAGCGAAUGGUGGAUGCCUUGACUGGUAAAGGCGAUGAAGGACGUACUAGACUGCGAUAAGCUACGGGGAGUUGUCAAGAAGCUUUGAUCCGUAGAUUUCCGAAUGGGGCAACCCAAUGUAUAGAGAUAUACAUUACCUAUAUAGGAGCGAACGAGGGGAAUUGAAACAUCUUAGUACCCUCAGGAAAAGAAAUCAAUAGAGAUUGCGUCAGUAGCGGCGAGCGAAAGCGCAAGAGGGCAAACCCAGUGCUUGCACUGGGGGUUGUAGGACUGCAAUGUGCAAGAGCUGAGUUUAGCAGAACAUUCUGGAAAGUAUAGCCAUAGAGGGUGAUAGUCCCGUAUGCGAAAAACAAAGCUUAGCUAGCAGUAUCCUGAGUAGGGCGGGACACGAGGAAUCCUGUCUGAAUCCGGGUCGACCACGAUCCAACCCUAAAUACUAAUACCAGAUCGAUAGUGCACAAGUACCGUGAGGGAAAGGUGAAAAGAACUGAGGUGAUCAGAGUGAAAUAGAACCUGAAACCAUUUGCUUACAAUCAUUCAGAGCACUAUGUAGCAAUACAGUGUGAUGGACUGCCUUUUGCAUAAUGAGCCUGCGAGUUGUGGUGUCUGGCAAGGUUAAGCAAACGCGAAGCCGUAGCGAAAGCGAGUCUGAAUAGGGCGCUUAGUCAGAUGCUGCAGACCCGAAACGAAGUGAUCUAUCCAUGAGCAAGUUGAAGCUAGUGUAAGAACUAGUGGAGGACUGAACCCAUAGGCGUUGAAAAGCCCCGGGAUGACUUGUGGAUAGGGGUGAAAGGCCAAUCAAACUUCGUGAUAGCUGGUUCUCUCCGAAAUAUAUUUAGGUAUAGCGUUGUGUCGUAAUAUAAGGGGGUAGAGCACUGAAUGGGCUAGGGCAUACACCAAUGUACCAAACCCUAUCAAACUCCGAAUACCUUAUAUGUAAUCACAGCAGUCAGGCGGCGAGUGAUAAAAUCCGUCGUCAAGAGGGAAACAACCCAGACUACCAGCUAAGGUCCCUAAAUCUUACUUAAGUGGAAAACGAUGUGAAGUUACUUAAACAACCAGGAGGUUGGCUUAGAAGCAGCCAUCCUUUAAAGAAAGCGUAAUAGCUCACUGGUCUAGUGAUUUUGCGCGGAAAAUAUAACGGGGCUAAAGUAAGUACCGAAGCUGUAGACUUGCACACAACUUAGAUUAUUUAAGUUUAGAAUAUAAAAAAACUAAGUUAUAUGUUUUAAGUUAUAUUUUUACUGAUUUUUAUAGAGUAAAGAUAGAAAUAAAGCUUAGUAAAAUCAGUAAAAAUAUUCUUGGUUUAAAGUUUAAGUAGUUUAAGUUGUGUGCAAGUGGUAGGAGAGCGUUCUAUUUGCGUCGAAGGUAUACCGGUAAGGAGUGCUGGAGCGAAUAGAAGUGAGCAUGCAGGCAUGAGUAGCGAUAAUUAAUGUGAGAAUCAUUAACGCCGUAAACCCAAGGUUUCCUACGCGAUGCUCGUCAUCGUAGGGUUAGUCGGGUCCUAAGUCGAGUCCGAAAGGGGUAGACGAUGGCAAAUUGGUUAAUAUUCCAAUACCAACAUUAGUGUGCGAUGGAAGGACGCUUAGGGCUAAGGGGGCUAGCGGAUGGAAGUGCUAGUCUAAGGUCGUAGGAGGUUAUACAGGCAAAUCCGUAUAACAAUACUCCGAGAACUGAAAGGCUUUUUGAAGUCUUCGGAUGGAUAGAAGAACCCCUGAUGCCGUCGAGCCAAGAAAAGUUUCUAAGUUUAGCUAAUGUUGCCCGUACCGUAAACCGACACAGGUGGGUGGGAUGAGUAUUCUAAGGCGCGUGGAAGAACUCUCUUUAAGGAACUCUGCAAAAUAGCACCGUAUCUUCGGUAUAAGGUGUGGUUAGCUUUGUAUUAGGAUUUACUCCGAAAGCAAGGAAACUUACAACAAAGAGUCCCUCCCGACUGUUUACCAAAAACACAGCACUCUGCUAACUCGUAAGAGGAUGUAUAGGGUGUGACGCCUGCCCGGUGCUCGAAGGUUAAUUGAUGGGGUUAGCAUUAGCGAAGCUCUUGAUCGAAGCCCGAGUAAACGGCGGCCGUAACUAUAACGGUCCUAAGGUAGCGAAAUUCCUUGUCGGUUAAAUACCGACCUGCAUGAAUGGCGUAACGAGAUGGGAGCUGUCUCAAAGAGGGAUCCAGUGAAAUUGUAGUGGAGGUGAAAAUUCCUCCUACCCGCGGCAAGACGGAAAGACCCCGUGGACCUUUACUACAGCUUGACACUGCUACUUGGAUAAGAAUGUGCAGGAUAGGUGGGAGGCUUUGAGUAUAUGACGCCAGUUGUAUAUGAGCCGUUGUUGAGAUACCACUCUUUCUUAUUUGGGUAGCUAACCAGCUUGAGUUAUCCUCAAGUGGGACAAUGUCUGGUGGGUAGUUUGACUGGGGCGGUCGCCUCCCAAAUAAUAACGGAGGCUUACAAAGGUUGGCUCAGAACGGUUGGAAAUCGUUCGUAGAGUAUAAAGGUAUAAGCCAGCUUAACUGCAAGACAUACAAGUCAAGCAGAGACGAAAGUCGGUCUUAGUGAUCCGGUGGUUCUGUGUGGAAGGGCCAUCGCUCAAAGGAUAAAAGGUACCCCGGGGAUAACAGGCUGAUCUCCCCCAAGAGCUCACAUCGACGGGGAGGUUUGGCACCUCGAUGUCGGCUCAUCGCAUCCUGGGGCUGGAGCAGGUCCCAAGGGUAUGGCUGUUCGCCAUUUAAAGCGGUACGCGAGCUGGGUUCAGAACGUCGUGAGACAGUUCGGUCCCUAUCUGCCGUGGGCGUAAGAAGAUUGAAGAGAUUUGACCCUAGUACGAGAGGACCGGGUUGAACAAACCACUGGUGUAGCUGUUGUUCUGCCAAGAGCAUCGCAGCGUAGCUAAGUUUGGAAAGGAUAAACGCUGAAAGCAUCUAAGCGUGAAGCCAACUCUAAGAUGAAUCUUCUCUAAGCUCUCUAGAAGACUACUAGUUUGAUAGGCUGGGUGUGUAAUGGAUGAAAGUCCUUUAGCUGACCAGUACUAAUAGAGCGUUUGGCUUAUCUUUAAUAAAGCAU
rnacentral:rRNA from 6 species